rnacentral:lncRNA from 1 species
UGAGACUUUUGGUGUUGAUUCCCGAGAAGAUAGGACACAUUCCACCCCACAGGACUGGCAUGUGGCCCAGUGACAGUGCCAGACCCUUUGAACACACAGCUCCGUUCCAUGUGACGCCAGUGGAAAAUCAAACAUUUCUUGGCAGUAUUGACGAGUAUUUGGAUGAAAGAAACAGAAGAGCUCAUUAAACCUGCAAAACUCUAUUCCAAUGGUGACCAGCAUUACUUCACCUGGGAAAUCAUUGAAAAACAAUUACUGUGAGACUGGAUUGACAGAGUCAUGCUCUGCUGCCAAGGCUGGAGUAUAGUGGCACUAUCUCAACUCACUGCAAACUCCACCUCCCGGGUUCAAGUGAUUCUUCUGCCUCAGCCUCCCGAGUAUCUGGGACUACAGGUGCAUGCCACCACAUCCAGCUAAUUUUUGUAUUUCUAGUAGAGAUGGGGUUUCACCAUAUUGACCAGGCUGGUCUUUAACUCCUGACCUCAUGAUCUGCCCACCUUGGCCUCCCAAAGUGCUGGGAUUAUAGGCAUGAGCCACCGCACCUGGCCUACUCCUUUACUUUCUUAAUAAACUUGCUUUCACUUUA